AAAAAACCUCCUAUCAGCAGUGAGCAAAUGAAUCUCUGCCAGAGCUGGUGUAUCUGGGUUGAGACAUCCUGUAGAGAAGAAAAUGAAGGAGCACCAUGGAGAAAAAAAAAGACAGAACGAGGGAUGCAAUCAGUCGUCAUGAAUGAGCAGAAAAGUGGAAAGACUCAGAAGUAAAACAAUGUCAGCGUUUGAAACCGGAGCACUGACAAAAAGAGGCCCAUCAGAGAUUCCACUGACUCAGAUGACUACAAUAUGUGUGAUGUGUUUCUGGCAGCCGUGACCCAUUUCUGCACUGAAGAAGGAGUGAUCAAAAAAAUCUUAGAACAAA